GUGACCCCAGGUCAGGCGGGACUACCCGCUGA
rnacentral:rRNA from 1 species